GUACAUACGCCAUCUUGUCUCACAGCAUAGAUAAUUAUAGUUUAACACAUCGGUCUCUGAAGUUUACACAAAGUUUUAAGAUAACAUCAAAACGAUCAUUUCUUUUCAAGAGAUCAUCAUAGAAGGUGACGUCAUAAUACAUCAGAGAGGAUCUAUAAAAACAAGUCUGGAUUACACCUUCAAGUUGUGCUGAAUCGGGAACUACGCCAUCUACGGCGAAUGUCUGAGGAACCUAACAGCCUAAAGAGAGAGUUUACCCAAUCAGUCUGGAUUACACCUUCAACGUUGUGCUGAAUCGGGAACUACGCCAUCUACGGCGAAUGUCUGAUAGACAUAACAGCUUAAAG